rnacentral:rRNA from 1 species
UACGUAGGGUGCAAGCGUUGUCCGGAAUCAUUGGGCGUAAAGAGCGUGUAGGCGGCUCGAUUAGUCCGCUGUAAAAGUCCAGGGCUCAACCCUGGGAUGCCGGUGGAAACUGUCGGGCUAGAGUCCGGGAGAGGCGAGUGGAAUUCUUGGUGUAGCAGUGAAAUGCGUAGAUAUCAAGAGGAACACCAGUGGCGAAGGCGAGUCCCUGGACAACUUCUGACGCUGAGGCACGAAAGCUAGGGGAGCAAACAGG